GGGUUAAGUCCGUAACGAGCGCAACCCUUGUCCUUAGUUACCAGCACGUUAUGGUGGCACUCUAAGGAGACUGCCGGUGACAACCGGAGGAAGGUGGGGAUGACGUCAAGUCAUCAUGGCCCUUACGGCCUGGGCUACACACGUGCUACAAUGGUCGGUACAAAGGGUUGCCAAGCCGCGAGGUGGAGCUAAUCCCAUAAAACCGAUCGUAGUCCGGAUCGCAGUCUGCAACUCGACUGCGUGAAGUCGGAAUCGCUAGUAAUCGUGAAUCAGAAUGUCACGGUGAAUACGUUCCCGGGCCUU
rnacentral:rRNA from 1 species